UACGUAGGGUGCAAGCGUUGUUCGGAAUUACUGGGCGUAAAGGGUGCGUAGGCGGGUCUUUAAGUCAGGGGUGAAAUCCUGGAGCUCAACUCCAGAACUGCCUUUGAUACUGAAGAUCUUGAGUUCGGGAGAGGUGAGUGGAACUGCGAGUGUAGAGGUGAAAUUCGUAGAUAUUCGCAAGAACACCAGUGGCGAAGGCGGCUCACUGGCCCGAUACUGACGCUGAGGCACGAAAGCGUGGGGAGCAAACAGG
rnacentral:rRNA from 1 species